rnacentral:sRNA from 1 species
AAGACCCGAGCGAAGCCGGAGCGGGCUGC